rnacentral:rRNA from 1 species
AGAGUUUGAUCCUGGCUCAGAACGAACGCUGGCGGCAUGCCUAACACAUGCAAGUCGAACGGAUUGUAGCAAUACAAUCAGUGGCGAACGGGUGAAUAACGCGUGGGAACCUGCCUUGGAGUUCGGAAUAACCGCGGGAAACUGCGGCUAAUACCGGAUACGACCUGAGGGUGAAAGCAGAAAUGCGCUCCAAGAGGGGCCCGCGUCCGAUUAGCUAGUUGGUGGGGUAAUGGCCUACCAAGGCGAUGAUCGGUAGCUGGUCUGAGAGGAUGAUCAGCCACACUGGAACUGAGACACGGUCCAGACUCCUACGGGAGGCAGCAGUGGGGAAUAUUGGACAAUGGGGGAAACCCUGAUCCAGCAAUGCCGCGUGGGUGAUGAAGGCCUUCGGGUUGUAAAGCCCUUUCGGCGGGGACGAUGAUGACGGUACCCGCAGAAGAAGCCCCGGCUAACUUCGUGCCAGCAGCCGCGGUAAUACGAAGGGGGCUAGCGUUGUUCGGAAUUACUGGGCGUAAAGGGCGCGUAGGCGGCCCCGCGCGUCGAGCGUGAAAGGCCUGGGCUCAACCCAGGAACGGCGCUCGAUACGGCAGGGCUAGAGUGCAGGAGAGGAUGGUGGAAUUCCCAGUGUAGAGGU